GUGCUGGAAGGUUAAGGAAGGGUGUUCGGCGCAAGCCAAAGCUCCUGACUGAAGCCCCAGUAAACGGCGGCCGUAACUAUAACGGUCCUAAGGUAGCGAAAUUCCUUGUCGGGUAAGUUCCGACCUGCACGAAUGGUCUAAUGAGUUGCACACUGUCUCCUCCACGAGCCCGGUGAAAUUGUAGUAUCGGUGAAGAUGCCGGUUACCCGUCACGGGACGGAAAGACCCCAUGAACCUUCACUACAACUUUGCAUUGAUUUUGAAUUUUUGAUGUGUAGGAUAGUUGGGAGACUUUGAAGUGGUGUCGCUAGGCAUCAUGGAGUCGUUGUUGAAAUACCAACCUUUAAACAUUUAGAAUCUAAUCCCGUAUGGGAAACAGUGCAUGGUGGGUAGUUUGACUGGGGUGGUCGCCUCCUAAAGUGUAACGGAGGCUUGCAAAGGUUCCCUCAGUACGGUUGGUAAUCGUACUUAGAGCGUAUUAGUAUAAGGGAGCUUGACUGUGAGACUUACAAGUCGAGCAGGGACGAAAGUCGGCUAAAGUGAUCCGGCGGUUCUGUAUGGAAGGGCCGUCGCUCAAAGGAUAAAAGGUACUCUGGGGAUAACAGGCUGAUCUCCCCCAAGAGCUCAUAUCGACGGGGAGGUUUGGCACCUCGAUGUCGGUUCGUCACAUCCUGGGGCUGGAGAAGGUCCCAAGGGUUCGGCUGUUCGCCGAUUAAAGUGGCACGUGAACUGGGUUCAGAACGUCGCAAGACAGUUCGGUCCCUAUCUGUGGUGGGCGUCAGGAGAUUGAGAGGACAUGACCUUAGUACGAGAGGACCGGGUCGUACGUACCGCUGGUGUAUCAGUUGUGCCGCCAGGCGCAGUGCUGAGUAGCUAUGUACGGACAGGAUAAACGCUGAAAGCAUCUAAGCGUGAAACCUACCUCAAGAUGAGUCUCCUUUUAAGGGCCGUCAAAGACUAUGACGUUGAUAGGCUACAGGUGUAAAGCUGGUGACAGCAAAGCCGAGUAGUACUAAUUGCCCGUACGCUUUAAUUUU
rnacentral:rRNA from 1 species